CUGAUUUGUGGACUCAAAAACUUCACCCACCCCUUGUGGAGCAGCUUGGGAGAGAAGCUGUGGUCCUUCCUGUGCUGACAGACAGAGGGCAGCACUGCUCCCUACAUGCUGCCUGUGCUGCCAUCAGGUUUCCAGGCUGAGGACACAGAGCUGUAAUGUGGGACAUCAUGUACUGAACACUGUGUGCUGCCGCUCAAACACGCACACAGACAAAACAACUGUUGGGCUGUGAAAGACUUGUAUGUCUGCACCUAAGGAAUCCAGUCAAAUAUUGUCAGUAGGUGUAGUGGUACUAUUCACAUACUGAACAGUGUUCUGACGUUAUUUAAAAUUUCAUGUCCUUAAUUUCAUUUGAAAUAUAUAUUUUUUUAUUUUGCUGUUUAUGUUUUGCUUGUUAAUAGUUUUUAAAUUGUGUUUUUUUAGUUUUUCUAAGUGUAAACCAACGGCUGGAGUUUUCUUUAAAACAUGUAUUUUUCUGAUGUUAAAUGUUUGAUGCUCAUGUUUAAUGCACAGCAUAUUGUAAUAAUGUUACAGUAUGUAUAAUAUUACCUUGUUAAUUCCUUGUAAAAAUGGUUGAUAUAAAUUACAAGUGCGAAACUCUCUU